GUUGUUUUCUCGAAAAUCAAUUAAAAAGUAUGGGAUUUUGUAUUGUUAAGACCUUAUCAGCUUACGGUACUUUUUUCUUAUUCUUUUUAAUGCACUUUUCGUUUAACAAGUCAACAUCAAUUUCUUUUGUUGUAAAAGAGUCAUUGGAAGGUGGCUUUCACUUCGGUGAAAGUGUUUAUAGCCUUUGGCUUCUGCAAUCGGAGAGAUUGAGGUCUGCAGCGUAGAUCCUUCGGGGUUAGAUACGUAGAUGCUAAGUUAUAGUUUUUCAUAGACAACUUGUUGACUAUGAUUAAUCAUGUAGCUUACUCGUUUGCGCUAUUUUACCUAC
rnacentral:rRNA from 1 species